AUGAACAGGGGAGGUUCAGACAGUGGCCUCGACCUCAGUGGCCUCAUCCUCCUCCUCCAGGAGGCUGUAGGAAGCGUGGCUCUGGCAGGGCCGCUGCAGGGGGUGAGCCAACAGUUUCACCAUGCAGUUGUGCAACUCCAGGGCAGGCCCAGCCAGUGCCACCUCAUACUUGUAGCUGGUCCCCUUGGUAUCCAGACUGCCCAUGAAGGCAAACAUGUCCUUCCAGCUCAUCUCCUCCUCCUUCUCCUCGGCACCAUUGUGGAUGUAAACAAGGUCAAAGAAGAAAUAUGGGCACUGGAACAUUUUCUUCAUGGGCUCCGUCAAGGAGAACUGGGGCUGGCAGGGUGGACGGCUGUAGACAAGGAUGGUGCGGACCACGUAUGGCGGGGGAAUCGUCUGCACGUUCUCUGUGACCGGAAACUCAGUUUUCUGCUGGCCAGGCCGUGUCGUCAUUCACCACCACCAGCGCAAACUCGUGGCUUUUGUCAAUCUUGUGUUUUGUCCUCACAAACAUCUCAAUCAUCUUCUGCGAGAUGUUUGAGGGCGUUGGUUUUGGAACCGUUGAACGAUUCCAGCUUUGGCAGUGACAUUUCCUCUGACAGGUCCAGGCAGAUAAUCACCUUCUCUGGACAGUUGACCCUUGGUGUCCGAAUCUGGACCUCAGGGGCCGGUGGGGGCACCUGCCAGGACUUAGGCCCAGCUCCUGAAGUGCUGGGACUCCCAUCAUCAGCACUGGCAGCCUCACCCUCACCCUCGCUGUGGCUGCCCACACUAGCCUGGGCCGCCACUGCCCGGUCCUCAGCCCCUUCGGGAUUGGAGCGAGUGUGGGGCCGAGGCUCUGCGGAGUGCUCUUCUUCUUCCUCCUCCUCUUCAGUGGGGCUACUGGGCUCUGCCACUUCCAUGGCUCCUGUGUGCCGUAGCCUGAACCUCCCUCCAAAUCAGCCGCCGACUCUCUAG
rnacentral:lncRNA from 1 species